UAGGAGGACUGCUGCCCUUAGAAAAAGUAAAGAGGGAAGGAGAAGCUGUGGCCUAGGGAAUACCAAAUAACCAGAGCAGGGGCUCAACAAAGCUAAGGAACCUAUUAAACCCCUUACUUCUACACACACACACCACCACCACCACCAUUAAUCAAAAGCUUCAAAGACAGCUCCAUACCCAUGUCUGAGUGUAACUUCCUUUCCUCAAAAUAAUAACGCCAUAUUUUUGGUUUUCCAAUAGUUUUUAAAUACAUUUUCUCAUUUAAACAUACAUUAUCAUUUGAACAUAACAUCUUCCUCUUGAACAAUUAUCCUUGCAUCAACCCUGUGAGUAACAGGUGCAGACUGCACGUACUUAAAUCUAGCCAUUAAGUCCAGACCCUGUUGGAAUGCUGUGGUACAGUAUGCUAACUCAUCCCAUCCUCACAACAUCCAUCGGUGAUUUUCUCCCCCAAUUUACAGAUGAGGAAACUGAGGUAAACCACAGAAGAAGUCAAAGACCUCAGACUCAAACUCAAGUUUCUGACCCCACCCCCACGCAAGCUUAUGGUCUCACUUCAUCAAAAAUUUGAUCACUGGUCUUUUUUUUUUUUUUAAUGGCUACUAAACUGGUUUAGGUUUUAAAGCAUGGAACUUUAUAGUCUUUCCAGAAAGGAUAAGGUUUUCCUGAUUUUGAAGUAACUGUUGUGGUAUCAGACUGAACCAGAGCUUCACAUUUCUUUGAGGAGAAAUAGGAGCCCAUAAGAGCUGUAAGUAGUUACAUCUCCGUGGCCCACCUUCUAUAGCUCCUCCUGGGAUUUUACCAUGAGGACACUCUUCUCAAAUUAUCUGUGGUGCUGGCAUCUCACAGAGUGGCCACAUAAGCCUCCAAAGACCUUCACUAGAGAAUGAAGAAGAUAAAGAAAUUGGAGGAAGAACGCAUCUUGUGUUCGUGUCUGCAGAGAUCAACAGAGAGCAUGUUCUAGAGCUUCUAUGGGUGUACACGCCUCUACCCAAUUCUCUGUUUGCUCUCGUUGAGCCUCUCUGGGGAAGCAGGCAGACACAUUGGGACAUGCUGCCCAUUGAUUGGCUUUGCUUCCUGAGAGAAUCCAUUCUGUUCUGACAGGGAUCACGUUGGAACAGGUGGAACAAUGCACAAACCGUGCCCCAGCAAAUUGGAAACAGUACUCCACAGACAACCUUGCCCCUCGUCAGAGCCCUGGGAAACACUCUUCGCAGACACCAGCCCAUUCGUGUAAGAGUGAACACCUUGGGUAAAGAAUCGAUCCGUCCCAUGACAUCUAGGUGAACAGCUGAAGUGCAUUUUCAGCUGAGUUUUCACAAUGCUUUUUGCAGCUUUUUGCCUUCUUACAUUAUGAAGAAAAUACAGGUUUACUUAUUAUGGACAAUCAGAUCCGCUCUCUGUACCACUUUGCACAGAAACCCAGCCCAACAUGGUAACUGGAACAAUUCUACACCUCACAUUUUCCCUUGAAAAAUAAAGAAAAACAAGGAUUCUGCCAUACUUGGAUAAGAAAGGCAGAGCCAUUCCCCAAGGCCCUCAGAAAGCCAUCUGGUUGCAAUCUUUCCCGGAGUUUUCUGGCCCAGAGACAAAGCACAUUUGUAUCAGACAGAUCAACACUGUCACCCAGUGGACAGACACUAGGCGGGCUGAGGCUGAGCCUUGAUCUUGGCUUGGCUUGGCAAGCCAGCAUUUAAAUAGGAACCUGUUUGUUUUAAGUGUUCAUGUAUUCUCUUACAGGGAGCUGGGAGGAUCUCGGCUGACAAGACUUUGAUUUGGGAUGAGUGCAAAUAUAAGGAGGACAUAUAUUUUCAUUGUGCCUAAGUUUUUUUUUUUUUUUUUUUUUAAACCACUAGGAAAUUUAUAGGAAGCAUAGACUAUAACCAACCAAGCAAGUCUUCCAAGACACAGGAUCAACCAGGCUUGCAGAAGGAGGGAGGUAUAUGAUCACCUGCCAAGUAUGUGGGAAGAUUUCCCUACCACAGAAUAAGACUUAUUGUUCAUUGUUCAAAGAGACAGUGGAUGUGUAUUUUGAAAACUAAAGAUUUUUUUUUGGGGGGUGAUCUGAGGUUAUUCACUUUACUAGAAUGAUGUCAGUAGAUGAACAAUUCUUGCUAUCUCUAUUUUGUAUAUAUGUCAAAAUAUACGCAUGGAUGCAGCCUCUGACCCAUCUCAUUCCCCCAAGUAUCUUUAGUCUGUAUUAUUAUUAUAUAUUUGAGAGAGAGAGAAUUGGCAGGGGCCGGGGUAAAGGGACAAGGACAGGGAGAGAGAGUCUCAAGCAGACUCCCCACUGAGCAUGGAACCCAAGGAAGGAAUCCAUCUCACGAUCCCAAGACCACAACCUGAGCUGAAAUAAAGAGUUGGACACUUAACUAACUUGUGCUGCCCAGGUGCCCCAAGUCUCUUUAGUCUUAUCUGCCAUUUGACACCCUCAGCCAACUGGCUUACUUUUCAUAUUAAGGUGAGAGGUUCUUUGCCUCAAGCCUUUCUUGCUAAAUGUACCUUUAAAUUAGUUUCUUCUCUCUGGCUGGAAUGCAUCAACAAACUGAAAGCAUUCAUCUGGUAUCACUUUACACUUCUACAGUCCUGGAAGCUGAAACUUCACCUGGUAGGAUCUUUUCUAGCAUCUUGAUUAAAAGCAAUCUGUUUAUUGGAGGGAAAUCUGGGUUUGAAUCCUAACUGCACCACUCGCUAGCUAGCUCCUUUCCUUGGACAGGUCACUUAGUUUCCUUAAGCUUUAGUUUCCAUCUCUGUUAUCAGGGAUAAUACUGGCACCUACUGCCCUGGCGGUUAAUCCCUGCUGUGGGGAUUUAGGUAGGAAAAUACAGAUGAACAACAGCACAGGGCCUGGACGUAUUGUAAAAGCUCUAUGAACAUUAGGGUUGGCAUUGCCAUAAUUAUUACAAUGACGGCAGUCACUCUUACUACUCCUAAAAUGCAAUUCUUAUAAAGUACCUCAGGCAUGCAGAUGAAACCAUGAUAUUUUUUUUGGCUAGAAAGACCCUGAGAGAGCAUCCAGUCCUUUGUUCUUCAUUAAAAUCAUCUGGGGAAGUAUGUAUGUAUGUAUGUAUGCAUGUAUAUUUUUAAAAAUUAUUUAGUUUAAUUGAGAGAGAGAAAGAGAAGGCAUGAGUGAGCGAGGGUAGAGAGGGGCAGAGAGAAACUUUUACAGACUUUCCACUAAGUGUGGAUCCCAAUGCAGGGCUUAAGCUCAUGACUCUGAGAUCACCACCUGAGCCAAAACCAAGAGUUGGACACCUGACAGACUGAGCCUCCCAGGGGUCCCUCCAAGGAACCUUUUAAGGAACACUGACAUUCCCAAUAGCCCAAUGAAAGAAUGCUUAUUAUAUGAAUCCUUUUAGAUGAAUUCUAGAAAAGGCAAACCUAAUCUAUAGUGACAGAAAGCAGAUCAGCAAUUGUCUGGGGAUGAAGGUGGAAGGAAAGAACUGAAGGAAACUUUCUGGGGUGGUGGCAAUGUUUUCUGUCUUGAUUGUGGAGGCAGAGUAUGCACAUUUGUCAAAAAGUUUCUGAAACUGUACAGUAAAGUGAGUGCUUUGUAUUGUAUGUAGAAUGUAUCAUAAUAAAGUUGAUGGAAAAAGCUGAUGCUGAGUCUCCUCCCCAGGAAUUCUGAUUUGACUGUACCAAGGCUCAUGCAGCUAAGGCAGGAGCCAGCGGUGAGAGCCACUGAUCUAAUCUAGUCUCCUCCACCUCCAGAUGAGCUCAACCCAAAUAUAUACCACUGUUUAGCAGAAGAUGCAGGACUAAAAACCGGGUCUUCAGGCAAACCUGAGUGGCGAAGUCAGUUAAGCGCUGGACUCUUGAUUUUGGCUUAGGUCUUGAUCUCAGAGUUGUGAGA